UAUCAGUGUUGGCACAUCACAUAUUGAAGCAAGUAAGCAUUUACACCAAACAUGAGAACACUGUUGAUCUUCGCUUUAUUAUUCAUUCUGGUAAUCAAUAUACAAGGCCAGGAAAACCCAGAACCUGACACAGACGUCGGAAUUUUGGAACAAGAUAUAGACGAGCUGGCAUCGGAUUUACAGAAAUUUGAGGAUGUAGAUUCCGUGGUACUCAGAAGCAAUGGAAGAAAAUAAUGCUACAUACAAUACCAGGACUCCUCUUUUUCCUGUUCAAACGCAGUAUUCAUGAACCAGCAUAGUAGUAGAUAUUAGCAUACUAGGUUUUCCUGUAUAGAAAUGUGCAUGUAUCUGCUUAUGAAAUCGAACAAAAAAUGUAUAUGCAAUGCUACAAGACACAAUUUUAUCCGCUUACAAACCUUCAUACACAAACACAGGUCAAAAAGUUUGUAUUGAGAAAAAAACCAUCUAUUCAAUUUCAUAAAUGUGCAAAUAUCCGUGAAAUUCAUUUGCCAGUGCCAGAAACCAUGAAAAUGAUUUAUUAAGUAAGCCAAGACUAAAUGCUAAAACAUAUAAAAAUACUUUAGUCACAGAAAGCCUUACCAAAUCCAUGGUUAUAUAAAACAAUAAAUAAAAUACUCCAGAUCUUGUGAUUCAUAAAUAUGUUAUAUGUUAUCAAAAUUCCUUGAAUCUUAUGUAACCGAUCGGAAAGGCUAAACAAUUUGUAUUUGGUUUUGCAUCAGGAACAGAUAUGAUGCUUGCAAAUUUGUGAGGCUAUGGUAACCAACAACGUUCACACACUUUGCGCUGGUUAAGGUGAACUGCUAGUUUAGCAAAUAAAAUCAUGAAUAAAUGUAUUCUGCU